rnacentral:rRNA from 1 species
GUCUAUGGCCAUACCACCCUGAACACACCCGAUCUCGGAAGCUAAGCAGGAUCGGGCCUGGUUAGUACUUGGAUGGGAGGAAUAGAGUUGGAGUUGGAAU